UACGUAGGGGGCGAGCGUUGUUCGGAAUCACUGGGCGUAAAGGGAGCGUAGGCGGGUCCGUAAGUUAGGAGUUUAAUGCACAGGCUUAACCUGUGACUUGCUUUUAAUACUGCGGAUCUUGAGUAUGGAAGAGGGAGAUGGAAUUCCAGGUGUAGCGGUGGAAUGCGUAGAUAUCUGGAAGAACACCAGUAGCGAAGGCGGUCUCCUGGUCCUAUACUGACGCUGAGGCUCGAAAGCUAGGGGAGCAAACAGG
rnacentral:rRNA from 1 species